GCCAGCAAAAAAGAGGCGUCCGUUUCAAUAACCUACCUUCCUUAUUCCAGAAUCUCUCUCACCCGCAAUUGAAACCAAUGAUAUCAGUUUCCCCUCCUCCAUUGCUAAAGAACUGCUUUUUUUUUUUUUUUCCUAUCUCGUAAUUGUGACAGUGCAAAAUUAGCAUAGAAACAAUAUACUAAGUUGAAUCUACAAUAGAGUACAAGCACUAAAAAGAAAUUGGUAAUCCCUUUUCUCUCCCCCUACUGCUUUUUAUUCUCCUAAUUUAUCCUUUUCCCUUUUCCAUUUGAGAGUUUCACUUAAUUAUCCUUUUUUGCUCCCAUUGUUCCAGUUAUGCAACUUUGUUAAUAUUUUAGCUUUAUAAAGCACUGAAGGAGUGCUUGAAGCGUCCUUUCCAGGUUUUAACAAACGCUCUCUACGAUCAAGUCUGGGUUUUCUCCUUCAACAAUUGUGACCAAAGCUUUGUAACAGAGAUGUGGAGAAGUGCAGAAUAAGGGCUUAAAAGGUCACUCUAGAAACUUCCAAUGGUUCAUUUAUCUUGAGAUCUUCAAUGAAAUGCGUCAGAGUUGCCGGGAACAAGUAGCUGCUAAAGAUUUCAGCCCCAAAAAUCUGUGUUGGUAAUCGCAUUCUAUCAAAUUUAAUUUUCUAUACACAAAUGGGCUACUUGGAAUCCCUUUCUAACUCUCUUCUUGCUUCAGAAUUUUAUAUGGAAAAAAGGCGAACACAUAGAUUGCAGAUUUGCAGAGAUAUUCUAUAUGCCCUUCAAUUUUUUUCCUUUUCCAGAUAAAUUACUGCUGCUCAUGUUGCCAAAAUAAAAGAACGAACUUUGGAGAUGAAAGGACAAAAUAAUCAAUGACUCUGAAGGCAAAGAACAGGAGAGAAAAACAUGUUCCAUUUGUUGAAAUGAUGACAAGCAAG